CGAGCAGAGAGAUUGGAUGAUAAUAAUUCAGCAUUGCUAAAUUAUUAUCGUGCGAGAAUGAAUUUCUUAGCAAGCCUGUGUUGCUGGCCCUGCAUCGCACCUCAGCGAUACCAGGCGAGUCCUGCAGCAGAGCAGGUCGACCCGACACGGCCCACAGAGGGCCAGGGCCUCUCAGUGACUCUCUGCAGCGUCGACACGCUGAGCAUCAGCAGUGAGGACCACCGGGACCCUCCGGGCUCCGACCCCUCCACCCACUCAGACCCAGCUCCGCCCCCCGAGAGCAGGCCCCUCCCCCAGAGGCCCAGGCCCCGCUGGGGGUGGCUGCGGCGUUUUGGCCUCCCCAAGCGAAAACAGGAGCAGAAGCUGGCUGGAGGGAAGAAGGCCACCCCCUCCGAGAUGGCCCAGGCCGGCCCAGCCACGGGCCAGGGCUCCAGGCCGG
ensembl:lncRNA